rnacentral:misc_RNA from 1 species
GACGGUGCGGCGUCCCCGAGAGCGACCCUCGCCAACAAGCGCUGCACAGAGUGGCAGGAGUGGAACUGGUAGCAGAGGCGCUGCGGUCGAGAAUAUGCAAUCCAUGCAGCUCACGAACGAUGCCGGGUUCAAAUUCGAGCUGUGGAAGAAGCUGCUCACGGAUGCCCUCGUUAAAGGUCGACAGGGCAGCGAUGCGGGUGUGCAAGCGAGCGUUGCGUCUGCGCUCUUCCGUGUAGCGCUGCCGACCGUCCAAGCGCACCUCCCGCGACGAGUUCGAGAACCGUGCUGCCUCUCCGGUGCGUGCACGACACCCGGCAUCCCGUUCGUGCACCGCUGCGUUCAUCUCGGUCGCCGUCGCAUCGAGACGAUGGAAAGUUGCCGUGACGAGCUGUGCUUCUGCUUAGCGCACUCCACGACGUGCGCUGGCCCCGCGGUUGAUCUCGUGGUGCAUGGCUACUACUCCACCGGAAACGACAUGCGCGAUCGCUACCGCGGACUACGCUGCCUGCUGCACCACACGCGGGCACGCCGCAUCUGCUUCGAGAACGUGGACAACAGCAACGACGCGCGUGAGAUCGUGGGCGAACUUUGCUACCUCAUGCAAAACACGAGCAUUCGAAGCCGCUCAUGGUCGGAGCUGCAUCUCAUCAACUGUGCCUUGAACCCGGUAUCAUUCCACACCCUGGCGACGUGUCUGCGCACCUAUGACUGCCUGGUGAAUGUGGCCAUCGAAAACUGCCACGUCGGCACCCUCGCCAGCGUGGCGGCGUACGUGCGUUCUGCGGCGCGCCUCACGCACCUCUCUCUGCGAGGGACGACGAUGGCGACCCAUUGGGCAGAUGUCGGCGAAGCGGUGGCGGCGUCCGUGUCGCUCGUGCACCUCAACAUCUCCUCUUGUAACUGGCAGGAUGUGCCACACCUCUCGGAGUUUGUGGGCUCACUGGCCGCCUUUGCGCCACGCCCCCGUUUCGCUCUGGACCUGUCCUUCAACCUUCUUACAUCCAAGUGUUUUGCACUCCUGACCAAGGCCAGCGUCGCCUUUCGCGCCUGUGUCACGGACGUCUUCCUCGGCGGCCACAAGUUCACUGACGACGAGGAGGACGUCUCGCGCUUCCUCGGCGCCUACGAGCUUCUCGACACCCUCAGCGUUCGCCGCUCUGUUCUCAGCACCGGCACCGCCCAGCGUGUGCUUCGAGCCGUCACGGACAAGAAAAGGCUGUGGCGCCUAGUCGAUGUCGCCCACGUGAACCUCGCUAACGGCUUUUUCAAGCGCAUCUGUCAAGCCACCUUUGCUCCCGGGACCUCGUCGCUCGUGUGCUCCGGCGUCGACCUGCACGGUCAGAUCACCAAAGCCGGCUUUGCGGGAUGCGCUCCUGUGCUGUCACGUCUCGAUCUUUCCAAUUGCAGCCUGACCGACGAGUGCGUUGGUCAGUUGGCGUCGGCGCUGGAGCGCGGUGCCCCGCUGUCCCUCCGCCAUCUUGGCCUUAGCUCGAACGUGGUGGAUAAGAACCGCACCAAGGGUGGUGACGGCAGCUUUUUGUUUCUAUGCAAGGCGCUCCGGUCGCACAGCGCUCCGUACCUGGAGUCGCUGGAUCUCUCCGGCAACAAGCUGCCCCUCCUACCUGUAGUCGCUCUUAUGGAGCAGGCGUCGGUCACCAUGCGCUGGGUGAACUUCUCCAACUCUUCCAUCGCCGACUGCUCCGCAGACCGGGUGCGGGUGCUGACGACACUGAUGCGACGCCAACGCGGUGCGGCCCCCCCGUUUGUCGCACUUGACGUCAUCAUGGCCUCCUCCGUCGAUGAGCCAUGGGUUGGCCUGAAGGAAGUCACCGAGUGGCUCACCACGCAGGUGAGCGUUCGCCUCAUAACAGAGGCGGCAGUCGCCACCGCGUCUUGGGCGAGGUAGCGUCGCAAGAUGCUGUCGGGAGCACGCGAAUUGUGUUGGUGGGCCAACAUCGGUUGGUGUUUGCUUUGCCUUCCAUUCUCCUCCGCCUUGGGUGUGAGUGCGCGCGCCUCUUUGCAGGUGCUGCUGAUUCCUCCAAGCCU